AUCUACUGGGAAUUCACACCGCAGCCUCGAAUGCAAUCAAGCAUUCUCAGGAGGAGUGUUGAAUUGGCACCUUGCACAGCUGCCUGGAGGAAACUCUUAAAUCUCUUCUGCUUCUUCUGAUGUGGUGCAGCUCUUGCAUCCCUGUCCCCCUGUCUAGAACUCAGACUUAGAUAAGAGCAUCUCAGGAGAAGCAUGUAUUUGCAGGAAAAGCUUGUUACUGAGUUAUGGGACUCAGCUGGGAAAGGACCUCAGGAAGCCCCAGCCCAACCUCCUGCUCAAAAUGGGAUCAGCUGUGAGCUGAGGGUUUGGUCCGCUUUCCUCAAGCAGAGCAGCAAUUUGCCUUCCUCAUCAAAAGCUACGGGAGGUGAGCAGGAGAAGAGCAGCCCAGCUGGAGGACAGCCUGGAGAUGCAGAGCACCACCCCAGAGCAUCAGCAGCCUGCUGAUUGCUCCUAAUGAGAGAGUGAAAAGCAAGGUGAGAUUCACAAAGCCCUUCGGAGCGCAGGAGGCAUCAGAAAAGUCAUUCAUCUUGCAUUUCCCUCUGCUUCCCUCUGACACGUGAUGAGGUCUAUCUCACCAGUAUGCGCACACAUGGAGCCAGCACAGGAGGCUGAUGCCUGACCGACUCACUCCUGUGAUGGAAAUGUGUUUGCUGGGCUGUGGCAAGGGAUGGAGGCAAUGUCCAUUCCACUUUCUGCAUCAGGAGGAACGGCCUCGUCCAGGAGGCUGAAGGUUACGUAUGCAAGUUGAAUCUGGGAACUGGGAAUUGGUCCUACAAGGCAGAAUGUUCAGUGAAACUGAUGAAGACAUGGAGAUUCAGCUUUAAGAAAUAAGAAGGCUAUUAAUCAUAUGGCUGAUCCAUCGAUCGUUCAGGACAUUCCCUGGCCCUGAAAACCUAAAAGAGCUUUGAUGUGAAGCAUGCGUCAGAAUAAAUAUUUCCUCCAUUGGACAGAAAGCUAGGAUCUGACAUUUUCAUAAGUAUCUCUUAUUUUCUUCUAAACUAGCAGCAGUUAAUAAAAUACAGUGGUGAUUUUUACAGGGAGUCCUGUAACUCAGAGGAAUAGCUUGGAGAUUUUAACUUUGCUCAGCUUUCUAGAUAUCUUGCCUGGGCUCUAGAGAUAGGCCAGUUCCAUGAUUAAGGAGUUCUGUUAGUAUCAGCACUGUUCAGAGUUUGGGCUGCUUUAUCUCUGUCUUGCUUCUAGUCCCAGCUGAAAUCAAGAGGUAGAAAGGCAAAUUGAGUGAGAGUGAUUAUUAUUAAUUAUAAGACAAAGUUAAGAAGUUACCCAAACUUCUUUGGUGUCUCAACAACAACAACAACAAAAAAGUAUCAAGUAUGGGGAGUCUUCAGGUUCUCAUAGAAGUUGGUGUCUUUUCCUUUUUUAUCUGAGCCCAUUCAAGCAUACCACACAUUUGAUAUGGGCCCCGUGUAGCUUUAUCUGAAUCAGUUCCCCCAAAGUCUUAAACUCUAUAAUUAAGCUCUUUUUAGUGACUGGAAAACUGCCACUAAAUUUGAAAUCUGUCAUGGUAAUUUCAAGGCUAAAGGAAUUAAAUUUAACAAGAG
ensembl:lncRNA